rnacentral:tRNA from 1 species
GGUAGGGUGGCCGAGUGCUCAGGCGGUGGGUUGUAGCCCCGAAGACAGAGGUUUAAACCCUCUUCCUAUCA